UACGUAGGGGGCUAGCGUUGUCCGGAAUCAUUGGGCGUAAAGCGCGUGUAGGCGGCCCGGUAAGUCCGCUGUGAAAGUCCAGGGCUCAACCCUGGGAUGCCGGUGGAUACUGUCGGGCUCGAGUCCGGAAGAGGAGUGUGGAAUUCCUGGUGUAGCGGUGAAAUGCGCAGAUAUCAGGAGGAACACCAAUUGCGAAGGCAGCUCGCUGGGACGUAACUGACGCUGAGACGCGAAGCGUGGGGAGCAAACAGG
rnacentral:rRNA from 1 species